UACGAAGGGGGCUAGCGUUGCUCGGAAUCACUGGGCGUAAAGGGUGCGUAGGCGGGUCUUUAAGUCAGGGGUGAAAUCCUGGAGCUCAACUCCAGAACUGCCUUUGAUACUGAGAGUCUUGAGUCCGGGAGAGGUGAGCGGAACUGCGAGUGUAGAGGUGAAAUUCGUAGAUAUUCGCAAGAACACCAGUGGCGAAGGCGGCUCACUGGCCCGGUACUGACGCUGAGGUGCGAAAGCGUGGGGAGCAAACAGG
rnacentral:rRNA from 1 species